UGUGUAGGCGGUUGUUUAAGUUUGGUGUGAAAUCUCCCGGCUCAACUGGGAGGGUGCGCCGAAUACUGAAUGACUCGAGUGCGGGAGAGGAGAGUGGAACUCCUGGUGUAGCGGUGAAAUGCGUAGAUAUCAGGAGGAACACCGGUGGUGUAGACGGCUCUCUGGACCGUAACUGACGCUGAGACACGAAAGCGUGGGUAGCAAACA
rnacentral:rRNA from 1 species